rnacentral:rRNA from 1 species
UACGUAGGCAGCAAGCGUUUGUUCGGAAUUACUGGGCGUAAAGAGUGUGUAGGCGGUGCUCUAAGUCUGUUGUGAAAUCUCCCGGCUUAACUGGGAGGGUGCGGCGGAAACUGGAGUGCUCGAGGGUGGGAGAGGUAAGCGGAAUUCCUGGUGUAGCGGUGAAAUGCGUAGAUAUCAGGAGGAACACCGAUGGCGAAGGCAGGUCUCUGGGCCAUUACUGACACUGAGAAGCGAAAGCAUGGGGAGCGAACAGG